UGACCGCUGGCGGCGUGCCUAAUACAUGCACGUCGAGCGAACAGACGAGGAGCUUGCUCCUCUGACGUUAACGGCGGACGGGUGAGUAACACGUGGAUAACCUACCUAUAAGACUGGGAUAACUUCGGGAAACCGGAGCUAAUACCGGAUAAUAUAUUGAACCGCAUGGUUCAAUAGUGAAAGACGGUUUUGCUGUCACUUAUAGAUGGAUCCGCGCCGCAUUAGCUAGUUGGUAAGGUAACGGCUUACCAAGGCGACGAUGCGUAGCCGACCUGAGAGGGUGAUCGGCCACACUGGAACUGAGACACGGUCCAGACUCCUACGGGAGGCAGCAGUAGGGAAUCUUCCGCAAUGGGCGAAAGCCUGACGGAGCAACGCCGCGUGAGUGAUGAAGGUCUUCGGAUCGUAAAACUCUGUUAUUAGGGAAGAACAAAUGUGUAAGUAACUAUGCACGUCUUGACGGUACCUAAUCAGAAAGCCACGGCUAACUACGUG
rnacentral:rRNA from 1 species